rnacentral:rRNA from 1 species
GACGAACCGAGCGAACGUUGUUCGGAAUCACUGGGCUUAAAGGGCGCGUAGGCGGGUGCUCAAGUCUGUGGUGAAAUCCUCCGGCUCAACCGGAGAACUGCCAUGGAUACUGGGUGCCUCGAGGGUGGUAGGGGUAUGCGGAACUAUCGGUGGAGCGGUGAAAUGCGUUGAUAUCGAUAGGAACUCCGGUGGCGAAGGCGGCAUACUGGACCACAUCUGACGCUGAGGCGCGAAAGCCAGGGGAGCAAACAGG